rnacentral:rRNA from 1 species
AUUGAACGCUGGCGGCAGGCCUAACACAUGCAAGUCGAACGAGUGGCGGACGGGUGAGUAAUGUCUGGGAAACUGCCCGAUGGAGGUGGAUAACUACUGGAAACGGUAGCUAAUACCGCAUACCAUCGGAUGUGCCCAUAUGGGAUUAGCUAGUAGGUGGGGUAACGGCUCCCCACGGCGACGAUCCCUAGCUGGUCUGAGAGGAUGACCAGCCAAACUGGAACUGAGAAACGGUCCAGACUCCUACGGGAGGCAGCAGUGGGGAAUAUUGCACAAUGGGCGCAAGCCUGAUACAGCCAUGCCGCGUGUAUGAAGAAGGCCUUCGGGUUGUAAAGUACUGUCAGCGAGGAGGCGUUACUCGCAGAAGAAGCACCGGCUAACUCCGUGCCAGCAGCCGCGGUAAUAC